GUUGAACUCGAAUCACAUCUUUUCGUUCUUCAUUUCUCCCUCCCUUCUGUUCAUCCGAAUAACGAUUUAUGAAGCUUUUCAUUCGUCGCCUUCCAUCGCUUCGGUGUAUCUGCACAAAUCGUGGACCUCUCCAUUUUGAAUCUCGGCAAAGCGAACCGAAGUAGUGUGGAGUGAGUAUAAAAUUUCUGGAAGUUCCAUUGGCGGCUGAAAUUUCUCGAUAACAUUGUGCAUUUGUAGACUCUUGACAGUGGAAGGAAGAAGGCGAUCGAGUAAUUGGCUAUUACGCGCGUCGAUGUAUAGAAGAUGAUCGAGAUUCUGUAUGAAGCAAACCAACAGUUUCGAGGCUAUAUCUAAGCUGGAGUUUUACGAGAUUGAGGUUUCUGCGGGAAUAUGUUGUGCUUAACGAAUCGGCUGUAUACUCAUUCUUCACUGAUCGCAGUUUAGGUUCUUGAUUCCUUAGAUAACCAGAUUGAGCUCAAUUUUCUUUUACUUUUAAGAGUUUCUAUUUUACAGUUUUUGCUGCUGGAUCAUCUAAAAAGCUCAUUCUCGAUUGAAGUGUUUUAGAAACAUCAUUUUCUUCCAAGGUUUACGUCAGAUAAUUUCCGUUUUGUUUUCCGCCAAUACUGCCUAAGCUUAAUCAGGGAGGAAACAUCUGCUCAAACACGGUCAGUUUUGGAAUACAUUAUUGGAGACUUCAUGAACUACUAGGAUUCGGUUCGUCAUGUAAUCUUACGAGUGACUCAUGAUUUCGUACACUUUGUACCUUGGAAGAAAAUAGAGGAUUGAGUAACCAGCAACUCAAGGCGUUGAUAUAUGGCAGAUGAUCAAGAUUCUGCUCGAAGCGAGUAGAACUCACUUACUGUGCGAAGAAGGAACUCUCAGUUUGGUCCGAGGCGUAUGUAUCUAAACCUCGGAAAAGUAAUCUCCCAAAGAGACUGCUGCAGCGAAUCAAUCUCUGACUAGUUGAACUUUUGGUUUUGCAUUAUAUCUACGCUGGAUUUCGAACGGGAUUGAGGUUUCUGCGAGAUAAUCUCGUGCUUCUCAAGCUGACAGUAAGCUCAUUCUUCACUGAUUGCAGGGAGGAACAUUACUCAAAUUUGGUCAGUUUUGGUCCUCGUAUAGCACUUUGUUGGAGGAGACUUUAUGAGCUAAGAAAUUCUGGCAUAAGGCGUCAGGUACUUCUACAACUCUAUCUUCUCAUUACCGAACAUAAAUAUUUUUGUUAAGCAGGAAAAUGCGCUAGCGCUACAGAAUUAUUUUGAUAUUUUCAGAACAAUCUAGAUCUCAUUAUACGUUUCUAUUUUGAGAAUCCAACAUCCAUGCAUACAUUCUUUUUUAUUUGACUCCGCCCGGAGGUCAAACGUUUUAUGCUAGUUUAGUUAUGCUAGGUGUGAAUCCAUACACACCAUCUAUAAUUAAUUAAUCCUAAUCUUAAUAAUUAGAUAAAGGAACAUACUUAAUUAAAGACUAGUUUUAUGUAUUAUGUAUCUAGAAUUUAAAUAAUUCAUUCAGUAGAGCAUAACAAAAUGACCUUUUGUCUUCUUAUCUGUGUAUUUAAUAGAGGUAAUGUUAUAAGUGAAAUUAAGACCCCAUGGUUAUUCACAAGUGGUUUUGCUAGUCUAUCUAGAAGUAAAUAAAAAUAUGUUAAGUCUCGACUCUAAGAUAAAUCAAAAGAACUUUACUAAGUCUUAGGAUCUAAUGAGGGCUAUUGCCAAAACAUAUCUUAAGCAGAAUCAAGUAGUUGAAAAGUCUAAUAACGUUUAGAAAGAUAUGUACCUCUAUGAGAUCAAAUCUCUAUACCCGAAAAAAUGUCAAGGUUCCAAGAUCCUUAAACUUGAACUGCCUAUUUUAGAAAACUUCCAAUGAUCAGGGCCACUCGCAUCAGAUCCAGUAAUUAAAAUAUCAAUGGCGUAGACUAGUUAAACUUUUUGAGAGAAAGAUCUCGAGCACCUUGGUGACAAAGGAAUGUUAGGUUCAUAAAUUAUUGAAAACCAGGAACAAAAGCAGCACCAAUAAAAAAA